UUUCUCCUAGACAGUCGUGUUCUUGUAGGGCAACUUGGUGGUUCAUCUGCUUAGGAGAAGACGUCGGAAUCCAGGUUAAGGUCAAGAGGUCAUGAUACUCAGAGACGCCUCAAUCCCAAAGAAUGUGGCUGAUUCACUGGAGCUCGACCCUAAAUUUUGUGAGCAUCCUGUUCUGGACAAGACGGAACUGCUCAGCCUCGUCAGGACAGCUGCUGGUAGAGCAAGAACAGAUGAAGCUGACAGAUGUAUCAGAGAAAGUGUUGACUGCCUGCCCCAGCAAGUUAAGAAAGGCAACAUAGUUCGGCUCCGCACAGCAGUGACUGUCCUUCGAGAAGCUGGGCUUAAGCUGCUCCUGUCUGACAAAGAAGGUGGAUUUGUCGUGAUGCUUAGUGGUUUGCACAAGAACAAAGCAGAUUUGGCCAUUCUAGGCAACUUCAAGGAAGUGCAAGGAGUGGUUCCUGUGAAGGUGAAAACAAGGGCUGUUCAGCUUUGCAAAAAAAGCCAGACUCUCAAAACUGGCCUCCUCUGUAAAGUCCUGCAAAGAAACCAGCCUUUCUGUGUUUUUCAGUGCCAAGACUCACAAGGAACUGUGCCCUUUCUGGGCCAUUGUUUCUGAGUGCGAAACCUGGCAAUGACAAGUGACAAGUUCCUGCAAAAGUUUUUGUGCCUCCUCGACAUCGAUGACCCCUUCCUCAUAAAGACGCCAGAAUACCUGAAACAAUAGCACGCCAGUCCCCGUGUAAGCAGCUGCAUCUUUCCCUGACAUGGCACAAAGAUGGAAGAUCCGCACCCGUCAUCUCAUCGACCAACUUUCUGCGUGGGAAUCCCAGUUGUGAAUAGAAGAAUGCAACCAAGUAUUCCAGAGUGAAAAUCAAGCAUUUCCAGUUAGCAGAAAUGGUAGGCCUGCUGAUCAAAACAUGGCUCCAGGGCCCACAACGAGCUCUUUGCGGUAGACCAGCUGAAGUUCAGUUGUAAUUCCAAUCAGUAACUUUUGCAAGCACCACAAAUCAGUUGUGUGUGUGUGUGUAUUUUGAGAAAUUGUUCUAUAAGCUAAUGUGAAGAGUGGUGUAGUUUUCGCAGCCAUUAUUUAGGCAAAAUAAGUAUUUUAAAACAUUGGUUACUGGAAAGACUUAUUCAAAAGAGAGCAUUGUUAAUGUACCUUUGCUGUCUUUUAAAAAAACUUACAAUUCUGUCCAAGACUUAGCAAUGUUUGCUUUGUCUGAAAAUUCAGUGUGCUACAUACGGUGAUGCUUUCAAAGAAAAGCUAAUCAGCCGCUUUACCUCUUUAAGAACAUAGCAUUUACAAUUUUAACUAAAACAAUUUUAUUUUUGUUGCAUUAAUAAUGUAAGUUCUCUGCAAACUUACUAAGGACCCACUGUGUUAGUCGUGUUCAUGGCAACCAUACUCCAUCACAAUUGUAUUUAUUAAAUAAACUGUGUUUUUACUGUUC
rnacentral:lncRNA from 1 species